CUCCCCUUCCUUGGAGAUGCUUCCUUUCUCCUCUGACCAGAGCGUCUGCCCUUAUACUUCUCUGUCCCUGCUCCCAUCAUGCUACUAAUUUUUCUCCCCCAUCUGCCUCAGCCUCUGCCUUCAGACUGGAUCAUUUCCACUUGCUGCCCUUUCCCAGGCAGACUCAUGCCUCUGCAUUCUGACCCAGCAUCUGUCCCCAUUCCUCCCUCCCUAUCAGUCUUGAGCUUUCCCACUUAGACUAGAGCCUCUUUGCACCCAAGCUUCCUAGCCAGCCUUCCCCCUCUGACCAGAUCCCACUCUCCACUCAGAGGACAGAUUUGCCUCCAUCCUCAGGCAAGCCUCCUCCAUAAUAUAUGUCUCCUUAUCCCCAGUUCUUGCCUCUGACAGAACGUGGCCCCCUCCCCACCCAACUUGAGUGUCUAGCUUCCUCCUUUUGACUAGAGACUCUUCCCUCUGACCUGACAUCUCUGUCUUCACCCUCAGACUAGAUCUUGCCUUUUGACUUGGCAGGACCCCACCCCCUCCCUCACGGUGCCCUAGCCUCUAUCACCUCUCAAAUGAGCCUCUACCUUCAGACUAGGGCCCUUGCCUUCUCUCUUGCUUCUGACCAGAGUCUGGAGCCACUGACUAAGAGCCUCCUCCCUCUGACUUUAAUCCUUCCUUCUAUGACCCUAGUCUCCACCCUUGGACCAGACAGCCUGCCUCUUCAUAGCUAACCCCCUGCUUGUUGCAUCCUGCUGGGAUGGCCCUGAGGUCUUGCAAGCUUGGGGCCAUCCCCCUGAGUAUGGCUACCCCCGUGGAGGGUCCGGCUGGCCAGCAGCUGUUUGUUCCGUCUGCCCGUCGCCUAAUGGCUCCAACAGGCGUGGGGCGGCGGCCAGGACGGGCGAGGCCUUUGCCGAGUGAGCUCACGUCUGCCCAGGCAACUGGGCCAGGGUGGGCAGCGGGCAUGCUGGGCUGGGUGUGUGGGGGGGAUGGGACAUGGGAUCACCUGGGCGGCAGCUUUGGUCUUCCCUAGAUGAUGGAUGGACAUGACCCUCACCAAGAGUGCAUGAGCCAUCCACACUAGGGAAACCGAGGCUCAGAGACAGGCAGGGGCCACGAGAAGCUGGGGUGCAGAGGGCCCCCACCCAUGCCCCCAACAUGCCCCCCCUUGCCUGGCAUGCCUGAGGGAAUGUCCAGGCUCACAAGGGGGAUGGACAGCAGCUUGAGUGUGGCCAGCGCACGCGUGCAAGGGCCCCCGAUCUCUCCCGGCUGCACGCCAGGGCCCAGCACGGCAUCCACCACCAGCCCGUAGGCAUCGUUGAUGAGCUGGACCUGAGAGGGCAGGCACGGUUAGAGGGCAGUCUUUGAGCACCGCCCCCCCAUCUGCCACCAAGCGCUGACCUCUGUGGGCAAAUAGGACAGGAAGGGGAUGUCCAUCUUCUCACACUGGGUGGUCAGGUCCCGGUGCAGCAGAUCCAGUGAGCGUGUAGGGUAGAAGAUGGUCGGUUCGUACUCCUGGGGGUUGGGGGGGCAGUGCAGAAAGAAGUCAGCCCUGGGGCCCUUCCAGGCUUCCUACUGGGCCUUAGCCCCCAGACCUGGAUCCCAGGCAGCAGACCCUGCGUGGGGCAAGCACUGGGCAUAGUCUAUAACCUCUCCAGCCUCAGUGUCCCCCUGGGACACCAUCAAGAGGAGGAAGCAAUUUCUGCAGGAGCAGGAUUGAGGGGUGAUCUCAGAGGCCAAGCGGGGUUGGCGGGGGUUCUUGCUACUCACAAACACCCGCAGGUGCCGGGCACAGACCAGCCCCACUGCCCCGUUCUGCUCCGGGCCACACACGACCAGCACUGUCCUCUGCUUCCGGGAGAGAGUAGGCAAGGGGAACACCUGGCAGGGGGCACAGCAAAGGCAAAGGCAUGAUGUUUGGAAUCCCUCCUUGUUUGAGUGGGGAAGCUGAGGCCUGGAGGAGCAGAAGGGAUGGGCAUGGGCCUAGAGGCCACCGAACAGAAGGAGAGGCGUUCUGGGCCCAGGGCAUGGCCUCUGGGGGCCUCAGUUUCCUCCUUGGAGAGGCAGCAUCCCUGUUUCAGGCUCGGCCAAGCUGGAGCAGGAAAACGUGCCUUCUGCCACCACCCGGCGCCCGGAGUGCGGUUUGUUUAUUCUCGGCCUGAGUUGCAGACAUUCUUCCACCUUUUUCCACCGCAGUGGCUGCCCUUCCCCCGCCCACAUUUCCAGGCCUCGGCCCCUCCUGGAGGCCCCAAAGCUGGGGGGGGGAGGUGGAGUGGGGGUUGUUUUCCAACCCAAGGUGCCCUGUCUCUCUCCAUCGGUCUCUGUCGUCACCUGUCUCCAUAUCUCUGUCUCUCUGCCUACUUCCCAGACUCUGCAUCUGUGGGCCCAUGCAUCAGUCUCUUUAACACCAGAGUUAAGAGCGCUGGUGUUCCAGCGGCUGCCCUACCCUGACUCUCUGCAUGGCCUCAGCCCCCCUCUCCUCUGGCAGCUUCACUUGGCCUCUAUCAAACAGGAAUGACAUUGACAGUGACAGGCACACGGCGGGACCUCUUGGAGACAGGGCGCCCCAGGGGGCCUGGCUAGGCCCUAACCUCCAAGUACACAGAGGGCUAGGAGCUUCACUCAGGAUGUUUCAUUUGGAAAUAGAGCCAUACAGGGUUUGAGCAAAGAAGCAGAGGCAGACCUACAUCUAGCAGAGGUUUCUUGGGAUGAAUCUUUAGUCCUUCAAUCCUGUGAGCAGGAGACCACAAUCUUCCGGCCAAUUUUGCAGCAUGACCAGGCCGGGCAGCAAGAGGGGCAUAGGUAAGGAAUGAGGACUGCUGUGGGAGGGGGAAUUAGGAAGGGCUUCCUGGCGGAGCUGGCCUGGAGCAAUAUGGGAGGUAAUCCAUGUGGAAGAACAGUGAGGGCCAAGAUCCUGUAGUGGGAAUGAGCUUGGCAGAUUCAAGGGACAGAAGUGAGGCCAGUGUGGCUGGAGCCGAGCAAGGGAAACUGAGAAACUGGGUCAGAAAGACACUUUCAGGGCCCAUGCACAUGGGGAGAUGGAGGCUUAGGGCAGGGAGGACACAUGCCCUGAGUCACCCCAGCAACCAAAGCCAGAUUCAACCCCAGCUGACUUCAGAUAAGGUUGAAGGGCCAGUUGGGGGGAAGGAGCUCACGGUAGGGCAGAUGAAGAGCACCCCCUGGGCAGGCUGGCCCAGCUCCCAGGAAAGAACAUUGGAGAAGGUGCAUUUGGGAAUGUGGCUCAUUCCUCCACCUUCAUCUGUGACAGCUCUGGCUGCUGCCCCCACAGGAGGGUGAGGGGAAGAUGAGAUGGGUGGCAGGACUACUCAUUCCUCCUCUUCUUCCUCUGUCCCAAAGCUUUGGCCUCAGGCCACCACUUGGAACAUUAUCUUCCUGCCUAACUGGUCAUUAGAGUGAUAAUAGAGAGGACCGCCCGGCUAGGAGCCUGGGGGUGGGGACACUGGCAGCUCUAGGUGGAGCGUG